CCUACGGGGGGCAGCAGUGAGGAAUAUUGGUCAAUGGACGAGAGUCUGAACCAGCCAAGUAGCGUGAAGGAUGACUGCCCUAUGGGUUGUAAACUUCUUUUAUAUGGGAAUAAAAUGUUCCACGUGUGGGAUUUUGUAUGUACCAUAUGAAUAAGGAUCGGCUAACUCCGUGCCAGCAGCCGCGGUAAUACGGAGGAUCCGAGCGUUAUCCGGAUUUAUUGGGUUUAAAGGGAGCGUAGGUGGAUUGUUAAGUCAGUUGUGAAAGUUUGCGGCUCAACCGUAAAAUUGCAGUUGAAACUGGCAGUCUUGAGUACAGUAGAGGUGGGCGGAAUUCGUGGUGUAGCGGUGAAAUGCGUAGAUAUCACGAAGAACUCCGAUUGCGAAGGCAGUUCACUGGACUGCAACUGACACUGAGGCUCGAAAGUGUGGGUAUCAAACAGGAUUAGAUACCCGUGUAGUC
rnacentral:rRNA from 1 species